CAGGAACCGGCGAUGCUAGCUAGCCUUUGGUCAACUCUUGCACAGGCUGUCAGCGACUCGGCGCUGGGCACUGGGCACUAGCAGCAAGCAAGCAAAUGGUUCCCUACAAAUAGGGGCUCUCGCUGUCGUCGCUGCCGCCGCGUGGUCUCUUGGUUCUUCCCCCCGUGCCCAUUGCUCCGGCGGCUGCUGCCACAAAGUCGGACCUGGAGGGCGCCGCACUUCACAUCACACUCUCUUUAGUUUCCCCUCUCUUCUUCUCCGAGACCGGCCAGCAUCACAAGGGCAGCAUCCGGCUGCGGCGAUUCAUCAGUUCGUAGGUGGUUUGGGCGCUUCUUCCAGCGACACGCCGGGCGUUACCGUGCCUGCUUGAAGAAACCGAAGGUUCUGGGGUUUUCGGUGGUCUUCGAUUAAUUCGGAGCUCGUUUGCAUGGGGUGUGUGUCCUCCAAGCAGUUGAAGCGAGACAAAGGAUAUGAGGAUCCCAACAUCUUGGCUAAGGAGACUACUUUUUCUGUGAAUGAAGUGGAGGCCCUCUUCCAGUUGUACAAGAAGAUAAGCCAUUCCAUAAUCAAAGACGGCCUUAUUCACAAGGAGGAGUUCCAGCUUGCUCUCUUCAGGAACAGUAACCAGAAGAACCUUUUCGCCGAUCGGAUAUUUGAUCUGUUUGAUCUCAAGCGCAAUGGGGUGAUUGAAUUCGGGGAGUUUGUUCGGUCCCUCAACAUUUUCCACCCAGAUACACCGAUGGCAGAAAAGAUUGCUUUUGCAUUUCGGCUAUAUGAUCUGAGGGGUACCGGAUUCAUUGAACGUGAAGAGUUGAAGGAAAUGGUGCUUGCCAUUCUGAAUGAAUCAGAACUGAUUCUUUCUGACGACGCUGUCGAACAAAUUGUGGAUCAGGUACAGUGCAUCCAGAUAAAACCGUUACUUUCAGCUCAUCCCAUUGGCUUUCUUGGUCCACGUAUGUCCACCACUGAGCUUACAGUGUUUAGUGACACAUUUGCUUGCUCUCAACCAAGUUGCUUCACACCAGCUGACUUUUUCACUGGCACAGUGCAGCGCCUAAUAGCUUUCAGUUCAAUUCCUUCUAAAACUAGCCAUAGGUUUCAUUUUGAAUUCAACUCUUGUGGUGCAAGAAGCAUCCACAUCACAAAGCCACCAAUCAACACAUAGAAAUAUGGCAUGCUAACUCAAGUUUUGGCAGACAUUCAAGCAAGCAGACAUGAACGAGGACGGGAAGAUAGACUUUGAAGAAUGGAAGGCUUUUGCAAGUAAAAACCCGGCUUUGCUGAAGAACAUGACGCUUCCAUACCUAAAGGACAUAACCAUGGCGUUUCCCAGCUUUGUUCUGAACUCUGGAGCUAGUGAUGAAGAGCUGUAGCACCCUGGCAAGCGCCCCCAUGCUCUUCCAUAUAUUUCUCAGUGUGCGCAUUGCCAAGCUGUGAGGAAGGACACUGCUAGUUCAGGUGACUCAAGUUUCAGACAUACAGCUGCAACAAACCCCUGAAGGUGCUGGCACAGAUCUGUAUUUGAAGGGUCUGAUUAGGAGUAACCAUUUAUGGAAACAAAGAGCCCCGCAUCGAAGGACACCCCGUAAAUUAGUGCUGGAACAAACCAUAAGGUUGGUGUAACUUGUGAGCAGGUGGUUCAGUUGAGGGCAUGGUUGCAAGGGACAGAAUGAUGUCAGACCUUCUUUUGCAUUGUUCCCUGGGGCUGUAAACUGGUAUGUGAAGUGGCUGAUUAUUAACUGAUGCUGUAGCACCAGCUUGUAACCACCUGUAAGGACUGGACUCCCAUGGUAAACUUGUCCUGACUGUAAAUGGUUGUAUAUUUGGAAGCACAUUUUUUGCAGAAUAGUAGAAACUACUGUGGACAACA